AUAUUAAUUUUAUUUAUUAUCUUUUUGUUUGAUUCAAGAAAGUGGAUGAAACAUUUGGAUUCAAAGAUGUUAGGCUAAAUUUCUAAGCCUAGGUUGUGGGGAGUAAUCCAGAAACUGAUUGGCAUGACUUUGCUCA